rnacentral:rRNA from 1 species
ACGGGUGAGUAAUGCCUAGGAAUCUGCCUGGUAGUGGGGGAUAACGUUCGGAAACGAACGCUAAUACCGCAUACGUCCUACGGGAGAAAGCAGGGGACCUUCGGGCCUUGCGCUAUCAGAUGAGCCUAGGUCGGAUUAGCUAGUUGGUGAGGUAAUGGCUCACCAAGGCGACGAUCCGUAACUGGUCUGAGAGGAUGAUCAGUCACACUGGAACUGAGACACGGUCCAGACUCCUACGGGAGGCAGCAGUGGGGAAUAUUGGACAAUGGGCGAAAGCCUGAUCCAGCCAUGCCGCGUGUGUGAAGAAGGUCUUCGGAUUGUAAAGCACUUUAAGUUGGGAGGAAGGGCAGUUACCUAAUACGUAAUUGUUUUGACGUUACCGACAGAAUAAGCACCGGCUAACUCUGUGCCAGCAGCCGCGGUAAUACAGAGGGUGCAAGCGUUAAUCGGAAUUACUGGGCGUAAAGCGCGCGUAGGUGGUUCGUUAAGUUGGAUGUGAAAUCCCCGGGCUCAACCUGGGAACUGCAUUCAAAACUGUCGAGCUAGAGUAUGGUAGAGGGUGGGUGGAAUUUCCUGUGUAGCG